rnacentral:rRNA from 1 species
GACGAACGCUGGCGGCGUGCCUAAUACAUGCAAGUCGAACGCAGUGGGGACGGGUGCGUAACACGUGGGUAACCUCCCAUCAGAGGGGAUAACCCUUGGAAACAGGUGCUAAACCGAUACUGAUGGAUCAACCCGCGGGGGAUUAGCUAGUUGGUGGGGUAACGGCUCACCAAGGCCACGAUGCAUAGCCGGCCUGAGAGGGGGAUCGGCCAAACUGGAACGGAGACACGGCCCAGACUCCUACGGGAGGCCGCAGGGGGGAAUAUUCGGAAAUGGGCGAAAGUCUGACCGAGCAACGCCGCGUGAAUGAAGAAGGUUUUCGGGUCGUAAAACUCUGUUGUUAGGGAGGCGGUAUCUAACCAGAAAGCCACGGCUAACUACGUGCCAGCAGCCGCGGUAAUUC